CAAUGGCUAGGUAUUUCUAAAAAGAAGAGAAUUGCGAAGUUGAAGAGAUUCUCGGAACACUUUGAGAAAAUUAAGGCAAAAGACGAAAGAUUACCUGUCGGAGUUAUUUGGCUUGCGGUUUUGUGGAACUUGUGGGUGGUGAGGAAUGCUAUAUUAUUCAAAGUUUUUAUUUUUAACUUCGACGAAUGUUAUAGCUCUAUUAUCGUUAACUCGUGGAAAUGGUUGAGGACAGUUAACGUUUCUUCUUCGGCUUCUAAUUACCACUAUUGGAACAUUUUACCUCUGGCUUGCUUAAAGGGGUUCGAAAAGAAAAACACGCUGCAAAAGAGAAAAAAAUACUACACCAAGUUCUUCAACACAUCCUCUUUCGUUUGAAGAUAAAAUGAAUAAAUCGAAAGGAAAACACGAUGAAAAAGAGAAAAAUAAUGGUCCAAGUUCUCAAAGCUUUUCAAUAUUUCUUCCUAUCAUUGAAGACAAAGUGAAUAAUUCAGAAUCUAAAAACAUUUCUUGUCAUCUAGUCCUCAAAGUUAAAGGAAAUAACCCAAAUGAUGAGAAUGUUUUUAGUAUUCUUGAGUACGAGGACAAGGUGAGAAAUUCAAAAUCUGAAAAUAGAUCUUGUCCUUAAAAUUCUAAGGACAAAGAGAACAGUUCGAAAACGGAAAAUUAUGCUUGUCCUCAAGAAUUGGAGGAUACAGAAUUUUUUUGGGAAAUGGGAGAUAUUUCAGUAGAUACAUUGCUAAAUCCACAAGAACUUCAAGUUAAAUCUUUGUUAAGUAUUUUAGGAGUACAACCCACCGUUCAUGUCAAUCAAGGAGUGUUGGAAGAUAAUUUGAAAGUCUGUGAUGAUAAUCAUUUCACAUUAGCGGAGGGCAACAAAAAUAAUGAAGUCUGGCCUGAGAUUUUCGAAGAUUUUUCUGAGUAUGAUGAUCUCAUAGCAAGCUUCCUUAAAUAAAUUUUAAUUUUUUUUAACUUAAAACUGUAAAAUAAUUAUGAUUAGCCAUUAAAGGUUGAUAUGUUGUUAUUCGUAUUAACCUUUUACAUUGUGGUUUUGUUAAUCCUUUUUAAAUUGUCCUACAUACUUUUGAGAGAAUGAAUUAUUUAAUAACUGAAAUGAUUAUAGCCUCCCAAAAGAGAUACACCUCAACAAAUUAAUUCAUCAAAUAAAAUACAUAUCUAUUACCCAAAAUCAAAAUAAUUUACUUUUAAAUAAAUUGAUUAAUUUAAAAAAUAUAUAUAAACA